GACAGAGGGUGCAAACGUUUGUUCGGAUUUAUUGGGCGUAAAGAGCGUGUAGGCGGCCAGGUAGGUCUGCUGUGAAAACUCGAGGCUCAACCUCGAGACGUCGGCGGAAACCAUCUGGCUAGAGUCCGGGAAGAGGAGAGUGGAAUUCCUGGUGUAGCGGUGAAAUGCGCAGAUAUCAGGAAGAACACCCGUGGCGAAGGCGGCUCUCUGGGACGGUACUGACGCUGAGACGCGAAAGCGUGGGGAGCGAACAGG
rnacentral:rRNA from 1 species